AACGAACGCUGGCGGCAUGCCUAACACAUGCAAGUCGAACGAGACCUUCGGGUCUAGUGGCGCACGGGUGCGUAACGCGUGGGAACCUGCCUUUAGGUUCGGAAUAACUCAGAGAAAUUUGAGCUAAUACCGGAUGAUGUCUUCGGACCAAAGAUUUAUCGCCUUUAGGUGGGCCCGCGUUGGAUUAGCUUGUUGGUGGGGUAAAGGCCUACCAAGGCGACGAUCCAUAGCUGGUCUGAGAGGAUGAUCAGCCACACUGGGACUGAGACACGGACCAGACUCCUACGCGAGGCAGCGGUGGGGAAGGUUGAAAAAGGGGGGCGGGCCGGAGGCAGCGCCGGCGCGUGCGGGAGGACGGUCAUCGGGUUGUAAACGUCAUUCGCCAGGGACGAAGCGUUUUGUGACGGUACCUGGAGAAUAAGCACCGGCUAACUCCGUG
rnacentral:rRNA from 1 species